AUAUAUAUCUAUCUUCUUAAUCAGAAAAAAAUAAAGCAUUUUGAAAAGUGUGUAUCUGGUCUAUUCAUAACAAGAUGAAAUUCAACCAUUUAAUCUCUGAACCCUAGUAACUGCCCUGUUCCCCCACUAAUUCUCUUAUACCUUCUAGCUCUUCUUUAUUCUUUUGCUUCUUUUCCACUUAGAGUCAUAAGCGGGGCCAGUUGCAUAAUUUAUGAGGAUUAUGCCAGAUGAAAAUGUGAUGCCCUUGCUCAAAAAGCAGGAAAAUGUCCUUUCUUUCCUUCCACAAUUUUUCUCUUAACCUGUCGUGGUAUCCUUUAUUUGCUAUUUAAUGUCCUGUUUCCUUGGGUAUGAGGUUACUUACAGAGCAAGUGUAGACCCUCACAGGUGCCUGAACACUGCUCUGUGAUAUGCUCUGACUCUCCGAUGCCUGUUCCCAAGACCCAGCCAGAGGUGGACAGUGGCACUGUCACUGACAGAUAAUGAGCAUAGGUUCAGCUGAAGAUUUUCCAGGAUCUUCUACAAAUCAAGAAUUGUGUUUCCCUGAAUAAUGUCAAAACAAGGGCUGAAUUCAAGCAAACAGUGAAUUUGAUUUUGUUUGUUCAUUUGAUUCAGCAUCACUGGGGAAGAGAUUCUGACUUGGUUUCUCAGCUGUUAUUCUCUGGUUAGAUCAUCCAUCUUGAAAGCUGAUUUGUUUUCCAUUACAGUCAAACUCCUCAGUCUGUUUCUAAGAGUGGGAUCUUCUCAUUGAUCGAGUUGUUUAUGGUAAUAUGCUUCUGGUUAUAUGCUAGAGCCUCAUUACUAACCUCAUGAAAUGGUCAGGGCCAACCUGCCCAAAAGCACUGGAUUAGGAUCCUGAAGAUCUGAGUGACCUAGCAGAAUGAAAGCUGUGAAAUGAAGACAUAGCAUGAUGAACUAUGUGAGAACAGAUCAUGGAUUAUAAAUUGGCAUUGAAAGUCUUAUUAAUAAUAAUUAUUAACAGGAGACAUAAGGUAACAAAUUCUGAUAUGUAUUUUGUUUUUAUAUUAUUUAUUUUGGAAAAUUAACAUUUUUUUGGUGAAAAAUCUUUAAGGAUUUCAAACAAUUCAACAGAGUAGAAGUAAGAAUCAUAUAUUUUACCAUGUAGAGAUAAUUGUUACUUAUGUUAGGUGAGUACUAUUUCAGAUAUUGCUGUACCCAUAUAAUAAAUAGCAGUUGGAUAGAUAGAAAUGGCUUCUAUAGAAUAGGACAACACAAUACAUUUUACAUUUAAGUAAAAUAUUCAGUCUAGUUGUACCUGAAUUUAGUAGAAGAGAAAGUGAAAUUGAAAAGAAUUCUUAAAAUUAAGGUAAAUGCUUCUUUCAAAAAAUAAAUGCAGCAUAAAAGUGCCUGUUCAUCAUAUUUUUUAAAUUUUGAAAAACUUAACAGGUUGGAGUAAUUUUUUGUUCUGGCAUACACAUGUUUCAUUUGUAGACAGUAUCAGUCAACUUGUUGCUAUAAAAAAUGAAGAAAUUAUCCUCUUAUACCUACUAUCCUCUUUUUCUCUCCCUUGUCUCUCAACUUUCUUAAUAUAUUAUUAGUCUUAUACCAUCAAAAUAGAAAACAUCUUCCUAUGUAACAAUAAUUUCCAAAAUUGUUGAAUUGAGUACAGGUGCAGCUGGAAAAAAAAAUAACAUAUUUAUCAAUAGGUUACCAGUUUCACAGCUGGUAGUGCCCAGGAAGAAAAGGCAUUGAAUGAACGGCAGCCAGACUCAUGCUGCAGGGUGAAUGAAACUCCUUUGGCAUGAAGCCUGUGGAGAAGGUAUUCAGGAGCCUGGAAAACAACCUUUAAUUUUCUUUUAAUGUAUCAGUUUUCAUUGAAAUGGGUUUAAUACUUACUACAGUAUUCAGAGCUUCCACAUUCCUUGGUUCUUGACUUUGAUUCACGUGUUCUUGGUUUCCUGCAUUUUUUUUGGAAAUUGUAUUUUCAAAAAUAGCUAUAUUCCUUGAGUUUGUGUGUGCUUAAAACUCUGCUGCAUGCUUUUACAUUUGAAUGAAAGAUGAAUAUAUUUUGGGAUCACACUUGCUUUUUGUAGACAUUUUGGAUUGCCACCUGGCAUUGAAUCUGAUGUGGAGAAAUGGACAUGGGCUGGCUUUCUUCCCCUUGCUGUUUACUGUGUCCUCCUCCCAAAACAAAACAAAACAGAACAGAACAGAGCCUGGUGUCUGAAAAACUAUUUCCUUAUCUAUGAAUGUUAAUAGUUUCAAGUGAGGUAAUGUGACAUAUCACAUGAUUCAGUUUAAAAAGAGAACUAUGCCAGGACACCUGAGUGCCUCAGUCAGUUGAGCAUCUGACUCUUCAUUUUGGCUCAGGUGAUGAUCCCAGGGUUGUGGAAUCAAGCCUUGCAUCAGGCUCCACACUGCUUAAUGUGGAGCCUGCUUAGGAUUCUCUCUCUUCCUCUCCCUCUGCUCCUCUCCCAUUCUCUCUCUCUCUCUCUCUCUGUCUUUAAAACAAAACAAAACAAAAUAGAACUAUGCCUAGAAUGCUGUUUUAUUUUUAAUUUAAAUGUGAAAAAGCCAACUCAACCAAUAUCAACUAUUAACAUAUUUUUACAGCACAGCCCUCUAUUUUUAUGUUAGCUUGACCAAUAAUGGUAUAACAAUAGUAAUAUCAGUGGUUAUUAUAAAUUUUUGGACAUUUGUUCCAUUAAAACAAAGUUAUUUAAAGAUUUUUAUUAUCCAGUCCAGGGCUACUCCAUGAAUGUUCACUGAGGAUGAAAAAGUUUUAUAUAUGUGUUGUCUAAUAUAAUAGCCAUUAGCUACAUAUGGCUGGCUAUUGGACACUUGAAAUAUACCCAAUAUUAAAUGCUUCAACUUUCUUUAAUUUUGAUUAAUUUAAAUUUAAGUAUUCGCAUGUGGCCUAUUGGUUCCAUACUGGAUUGAAUACAUCUAGACAUUCAGAACAACCUGAAGCAUCAAAGAAACUUUAUCUAAUAGACUCAGGACCAAACUUGCUACCUUGUUACCCUGGGCAAGUGAUAUAAGGACUUUUCAAUGCAGCUUUCCCAAUUAAAUAAUAAACUGUUAAAGUAGCUCUUACCUAUAUGGCAGGGGCAUCAAUUGUAAUAAUAAAUGUAAUAUUGUUUUAAAUUAUUUUAAAGGAAAAUACUCUUUUGAUCUGAA